AUGUUUAACUGGAUAUAUUUUAUUGCUGUCUAAUGCAUUAUUGGUUGGUAAUAUAUAUAUAUAUGUAGACAUAUAUGUUGAACAAGUUCAAGGAAAGUAAUGGGACAUUUAAGGAAUUUCUUAUGAGCGAUGUAGUAGGACUAUCAAGUUUGUACGAAGCCACUCAUCUUAGGGUUCAUGGAGAAGACGUACUUGAUAUAUGAGGCACUAUACUUCACCAGGACUCUUCUCGAGUCUGCAGCACACCGUUUGAACUCCCCGUUAUUGAAACAAGUAACUCAUGACUUAUAUCAGCCACUUUGGAAGAGCUUUCCAAGGAUAGAAGCAAGGCAUUACUUCGUACAGAGUUGAUAGUCAUCGCUCGAUCAUAAGAAUUUCCUUAAAUGUCCCAUUACUUUCCUUGAACUUGUUGAAUAUAUCUACAUGUAUAUUACCAACCAAUAAUGCUUUAGACAGCAAUAUGAUAUAACCAGUUAACAUGCGAACGUACGUACAUAGCAAUCUGUCUAGUAAACAGAUAAAAGUUAUUUUAUAUAGUGCUAUUAGAAAUUAAUGAAAGAAAGAAUGACAAAUUUACCGCACAGGAAAAGUUGUAGCCUUGUUGUCUUUUUUGAACAAUUGCAGCCUCGUUGUCUAAGCAAUCGAAAACGGAGAUCAGUAGAGUAAAGGUCAUCAUCACACAGUGAUGAUUCACACUGAAAUUCUGCCGACUCUUGCAAAGUUGGAUUUCCACCGUGUGCAAAGAAUCCAUCAGAAUGAACUUGUGGUGGAAGGACUUGGACGUUGUAAACAGCCUACUUUUCGUAAGAGACAGGAUAAUUAUUUUGCCCUUUGGGAGUCUACUUUGGACUUGAAUAUUCGUUCGCAAUUCAAUUUGAAGUUAAAGCUUACUUCCAUGAAGCCAUAAAUGGUUGAAGGCAAUGCAUCCUUCUUUACGAUGGCAACCACAGCCUUUGUUGGAAUGGGAGCUCUCCUUACAAAAGACUCCAUGGAUUGGGUGUUUAAUGACCCCAAGAUUUUAAAGGCUACAUCUGUAAUUUUCAGAAUCCUGAAUGACAUGGUUGGCCACAAGGAACUUUUAAUUUAUGUGCAUAGCAUGCACUUACUAAAAACUAGAAUAAGUUCUAUAUGCAUACGAAUCCAUCGUAUAACUGCAUCUACAUAGUUUGAGUAAAAGAGAGAACACCAUGCCUCAUCAGUGGAAUGCUACAGGAAUCAAUACAACGUCACAGUAGAAGAAGCGAAAUUAAAUCUAGCUAACCAAUUAAGCAAGUCAAUGCAUUGGUUCUUGCAGGCAUAAAUCUUGCUUUUGCAUUUCGGCGCCCUUCUCUAUUUCUUUUAUAGAAGUUAUGAUUCAUGUUCUGUUCAUAAGCCAAAGAGUUGGAGAACAUUUAGUAGUCCUUUAAAUCAGUUGGGAUGACUUUGCAUAUGAAUGCUAGAAACCAAAAAGCAUGCUUUGAUACAAAUUUCACUCAUCUGGUGUAGUGAUCCAUGAUCCAUGAAGAUGAAGUGAUCCUAUGAAAGGAGAAGAAAGGAGAAGAUCAAGGCUGGAAUUAUGGACAGCCAACUAUUAGAUAGUUUUUAUAUGGAUUGGCUCGAUGUUAUUUGUAUCAUGUAUUCAUGUGGUUUGAGGAUUGUUGAGUAGUCCCUACCUUAUAGUAUUGUAGAUUUGAAGAAGGUGAAAUUUUAAUUUUGUUUUUAUUUUUUUUUAAUUUUGAAAUAUAUGGAGUCACCAAUAAAAAUUGGUGGAUAACAUGAAGUAGAAUAGUAAAAUCUGAAGGGAGUCACCAAUUCUUAUGUUGGUGAGUUGUGGGACCCAUUUCAUUA